AUUGAACGCUGGCGGCAGGCCUAACACAUGCAAGUCGAGCGGAUGAAGGGAGCUUGCUCCUGGAUUCAGCGGCGGACGGGUGUGUAAUGCCUAGGAAUCUGCCUGGUAGUGGGGGAUAACGUCCGGAAACGGGCGCUAAUACCGCAUACGUCCUGAGGGAGAAAGUGGGGGAUCUUCGGACCUCACGCUAUCAGAUGAGCCUAGGUCGGAUUAGCUAGUUGGUGGGGUAAAGGCCUACCAAGGCGACGAUCCGUAACUGGUCUGAGAGGAUGAUCAGUCACACUGGAACUGAGACACGGUCCAGACCCCUACGGGAGGCAGCAGUGGGGAAUAUUGGACAAUGGGCGAAAGCCUGAUCCAGCCAUGCCGCGUGUGUGAAGAAGGUCUUCGGAUUGUAAAGCACUUUAAGUUGGGAGGAAGGGCAGUAAGUUAAUACCUUGCUGUUUUGACGUUACCAACAGAAUAAGCACCGGCUAACUUCGUG
rnacentral:rRNA from 1 species